ensembl:lncRNA
GCACCCGUCAAUUAAAAUUUUUAAAAAUAGCCCCUGCUUGUUGCUGACCUAGCAACCCGAAAGAUAGUUGCAUCUAUCCAAGUAGGAAAUAAGGUACCACUUAUCAAAAAGUGGGGAGGCAAAUUUAACUAAUUUAUUUACGUUGGAAUGAGGAAGUGCGGUCAGAGUGGAUGAUGAAGCAGCUGCUCCCCCCUGUGGCCAGAAUUGAACAUCCCCUCAGGAGAAGGUUAAUAAUAAUAAUAAUAAUAAUAAUAAUAAUAAUAAUAAUAAUUAAUAAUAAUAAUAAUAACUUUAUUUUUAUACCCCGCCUCCAUCUCCCCAAAGGGGACUCAGGGCGGCUUACAUGGGGCCAAGCCCGAAUAAAAACAGUAGCAGUAUAAAACACAGCAAUAGACAACAACUUGCACAAUAAAAAAAAUAAAAAAUAAAAAUAAAACAUUAGCCAAUAAAAAACAAGAACUAAUAAAAACAUGGAUUAAAACUGAGAGAUUGUAAAAGUAGACUGGAUAAAAGUGCCUGGAUAAAGUUAAAUUGCCUCUGUGUCUGUCUCUGUCUCGGUUCUAUGUGUAUCUGUGCAUGGAAUGUGUGCCCUAUAUGUAUAUAAUAUGAUCCGCCCUGAGUCCCCUUCGGGGUGAGAAAGAAAGAAGGGCGGGAUAUAAAUACUGUAAAUAAAUACAUAAAUAAAUAACCCUUUUGUCGGGUCCUCAUUGCAGUGUCCUUCUGUCCAGAAUGACGGCAGAGGCGAAAUCCUUGGAGGCCGAGGACGAAGGUGGGCUUCCCCUUGGGAGAGAUUUUGCCCCCCGCCCGUCCUGGGGACGCCGCACCUGCUCCGGCCGCCGCCUGAUCCUCGUCCUUCUGGGGGUCCUUGGCUGCCUCCUCCUCGCCAUGGUGGUCUUCGGCUUCAGCGGGCGCAAGCUGAACGCGGAUUUGUCAGGAAUGCAGGGAAACCUCAAGAGCAUCAACCAGAGCCUUUUCUCAGAGUUGGCUUCUCUGAAGGAAAAAGGAGCAAGUGAAGCUAAAUUGGUGGCAAAGAUCAACGCGAUGGCCAAAAACCUGACCGAGGAGGUGAAGGAAGGUAAGGAUGGAAAAUGCAGAAUGAUGCCCUCUGCGCCCAUUGAAAAGCAUGGCGCAUUGCCAUUUAUGGGGUUCACUCUGAUCUGUGGCUUCAUUGAUCCACAUCUAGCAAAACAUGUCCCUUGCAGGUAUUUUCCAAGAACUCCAAUGCAAUUCUAUAGUAUUUUUGGACCAGUUGAAUGUGUGUGUGUGUGUAUUAGUAUUAUAUAUAUAGUGUGAGUGUGUUUGUGUGUAUGUGUGUGUGUGAGUGUGUGUGUGGAUGUGUAUAUAUAUAUACUGUAUAUAUAUAUAUAUACAGUAGAGUCUCACUAAUCCAAGCCUCGCUUAUCCAAGCCUCUGGAUAAUCCAAGCCAUUUUUGUAGUCAAUGUUUCCAAUAUAUCGUGAUAUUUUGGUGCUAAAUUCGUAAAUACAGUAAUUACAACAUAACAUUACUGCGUAUUGAACUACUUUUUCUGUCAAAUUUGUUGUAUAACAUGAAGUUUUGGUGCUUAAUUUGUAAAAUCAUAACCUAAUUUGAUGUUUAAUAGGCUUUUCCUUGAUCAUUCCUUAUAAUCCAAGAUAUUCGCUUAUCCAAGCUUCUGCCGGCCCGUUUAGCUUGGAUAAGUGAGACUCUACUGUAUAUAUAAGUAUUACAUAUAUGUUGUGAGUGUGUUUGUGUGUAUGUUUGUAUGUGUGUAUAAAUAUAUAUAAGUAUUAUAUGUGGUGUGAGCAUGUUUGUGUGUGUGUGUGUAUGUGUGUGUGUGUGUGUGUAUAUAUUAGUAUUAUAUAUGGUGUGAGUGUGUUUGUGUGUGUAUAUGUGCAUGUGUGUGUAUGUAUAUAUAUAUACUGUAUAUACAUAUUAGUAUUAAAUAUGGUGUGAGUGUAUUUCUG